CCGUCUGAUUAAGCAUAUCAAUAAGCGGAGGAAAAGAAACCAACAGGGAUUGCCCCAGUAACGGCGAGUGAAGCGGCAACAGCUCAAAUUUGAAAUCUGGCCCCAGGCCCGAGUUGUAAUUUGCAGAGGAUGCUUUUGGCGCGGUGCCUUCCGAGUUCCCUGGAACGGGACGCCAUAGAGGGUGAGAGCCCCGUACGGUUGGACACCAAGCCUUUGUAAAGCUCCUUCGACGAGUCGAGUAGUUUGGGAAUGCUGCUCUAAAUGGGAGGUACAUUUCUUCUAAAGCUAAAUAUUGGCCAGAGACCGAUAGCGCACAAGUAGAGUGAUCGAAAGAUGAAAAGCACUUUGAAAAGAGGGUUAAACAGCACGUGAAAUUGUUAAAAGGGAAGCGCUUGUGACCAGACUUGCGUCCGGUGAAUCACCCAGCUCUCGCGGCUGGGGCACUUCGCCGGCACAGGCCAGCAUCAGCUUGCCGUCGGGGACAAAAGCUUCAGGAACGUGGCUCCUCUCGGGGAGUGUUAUAGCCUGUUGCAUAAUACCCUUCGGCGGGCUGAGGUACGCGCUCCGCAAGGAUGCUGGCGUAAUGGUCAUCAGCGACCCGUNUAAAAA
rnacentral:rRNA from 1 species